UACAAAGGGGGCUAGCGUUGCUCGGAAUGACUGGGCGUAAAGGGCGCGUAGGCGGCUCACAGAGUCGGACGUGAAAUUCCUGGGCUUAACCUGGGGGCUGCGUUCGAUACCUGUGGACUAGAGUGGGGAAGAGGGUCGUGGAAUUCCCAGUGUAGAGGUGAAAUUCGUAGAUAUUGGGAAGAACACGGUGGCGUAGGCGGCGACCUGGUCCUUUACUGACGCUGAGGCGCGAAAGCGUGGGGAGCGAACAGG
rnacentral:rRNA from 1 species